rnacentral:rRNA from 1 species
GAUGAACGCUGGCGGCGUGCUUAACACAUGCAAGUCGAACGAGAAGUGAAGACGGAAACCUUCUGGCGGAAGGCUUUAUUUCGAGUGGCGGGCGGGUGAGUAACGCGUGGGUAACCUGCCUCAUACAGGGGGAUAACAGUUGGAAACGACUGUUAAUACCGCAUAAGACCAAACCACCGCAUGUUGCGGGGUUCAAAACUCCGGUGGUCUGAGAUGGACCCGCGUUGGAUUCGCCAGUUGGCGCGGUAACGCCACACCAAAGCGACGAUCGAUAGCCGAUCUGAGAGAAUGGCCGGCCACAUUGGGACUGAGACACGGCCCAAACUCCUACGGGAGGCAGCAGUGGGGAAUAUUGCCCAAUGGGGGAAAUCCUGAUGCAGCGACGCCGCGUGAGUGAAGAAGUAUUGCGGGAUGUAAAGCUCUAUCAGCAGGGAAGAAAAUGACGGUACCUGAGUAAGAAGCCCCGGCUAACUACGUG